GAUGAACGCUGGCGGCGUGCCUAAUACAUGCAAGUAGAACGCUGAAGGAGGAGCUUGCUCUUCUGGAUGAGUUGCGAACGGGUGAGUAACGCGUAGGUAACCUGCCUGGUAGCGGGGGAUAACUAUUGGAAACGAUAGCUAAUACCGCAUGACAACAGUUAUUGCAUGAUAACUGUUUAAAAGGGGCAACUGCUCCACUACCAGAUGGACCUGCGUUGUAUUAGCUAGUUGGUGAGGUAACGGCUCACCAAGGCGACGAUACAUAGCCGACCUGAGAGGGUGAUCGGCCACACUGGGACUGAGACACGGCCCAGACUCCUACGGGAGGCAGCAGUAGGGAAUCUUCGGCAAUGGACGGAAGUCUGACCGAGCAACGCCGCGGGAAUGAAGAAGGUUUUCGGAUCGUAAAGCUCUGUUGUAAGAGAAGAACGAGUGUGAGAGUGGAAAGUUCACACUGUGACGGUAUCUUACCAGAAAGGGACGGCUAACUACGUG
rnacentral:rRNA from 1 species